rnacentral:lncRNA from 1 species
UUUUUUUCCCUUUUUUUUGAAUACAAUUAAUAUAAAACAACUGAAAUAUUAUUAUUACAGUUAAAAGACUUAAAUAAACUCUUUUUGUUCAUAACUAGAUUUUCUUUACCGUCCUCAAAUACACAUACUUGUCGUCCUCAAAUAGUAUCGUAAUAUUUUUUUGUUUCUUUACCGUCCUUGCAGUUUUCUUCCAUUCUACUAAUUCCAGAAAGCUUCCCAAUGACAUCUGAGAUAAUAUAAUAAUAAAAUAUAAGAAUCAAUAUAAUAGAUACACAUAUUAAAAAUUAAAUUUUAAAAAUUAAAUAUUUGAUGCAUGUAAUAAUUCUUACCUACUAAAUAUUUGUCAUCAGCGACAUUACCAAGUAUUUGACCGUUAGAUUAUUGAUUUCGGAAGCAAUAAUUUUAAAUAAUCAAUUAUCUGGCAAUACGAAAUUUGAGUUUGACCCUUUUUUCGCAGCUAACCAUUUCAAAUAAUUCGCAACAGAUCAUUGCUUAUUUCGCAACCAAUAAUUUUAAAUAAUUAAUUAUCUGUCAAUACGAAAUUUGAGUUUGCAACAGAUUAUUUCCACUGCGAAAAAAUAAUUCGCAAUAGAUUAUUGCGUAUUUCGCAACCAAUAAUUUUAAAUAAUUAAUUAAACCAAUAAUUUUAAAUAAUUCGUAACCAAAUAUCCAUAUUUGAGCUUGACACGUGACAUGCAAGCAUAUAGAAAGCCACGUGUCAGCUUCUCACAUAGGAUUCAUUAAGGGUUCUACUUUUAUAUAUAGUAAUAGAAGAGAUUUUAAAAAUAUUAUAAUUUUAUAAACAAUUUUUUAAAUAUUAGGCCUAAUUAUGCCACACAGGUAAGACAAAUAAUUUACCGUUUUAUUCAAAAUAUUAAAAGUAUGAGCAAUACAAGUCAUACACUCUAACCCAUCUAAGUUGGGAAUUUUUUUCACUAGUUAUAUCAAUGUGACUAGUAAAAUUUAUUUCACCGUAAAAAUAGGAUGUAUAUCAUACAGUACUCCGUUUGAAGAUUUUCAUAAAAACGAUGAAUCUUUUAUCGUUUUUAGAAAUAGUG